rnacentral:rRNA from 1 species
AGGGUUUGAUCCUGGCUCAGAGCGAACGCUGGCGGCGUGGUUUAGGCAUGCAAGUCGAGCGCGAAAGUCCCCUUCGGGGGGCGAGUAGAGCGGCGAAAGGGUGAGUAAUGCAUAGGUAACCUACCCCUGACUCCGGUAUAGCGUCUGGAAAUGGGCGGUAAUUCCGGAUGGUUUUGAGAUUGGGAAUUUGAAUUUGGGUAAAGAUGGGGAUUUUUGGACCUUUCGGUCAGGGAGGGGCCUAUGUCCCAUUAGCUAGUUGGUGAGGUUAUGGCUCACCAAGGCAAUGACGGGUAGCCGGAUUGAGAGGUUGACCGGUCACACUGGGACUGAGACACUGCCCAGACUCCUACGGGAGGCUGCAGUCGAGAAUCAUUCACAAUGUGUGAAAGUGUGAUGAUGCGACGCCGCGUGGAGGAUGAAGGCCUUAGGGUUGUAAACUCCUGUCACGGGUUAUGAAAUGCAGUGCGUUAAUAGCGUGCUGCUUGAUAAAGGCCCGAGAGGAAGUCACGGUUAACUCCGUGCCAGUAGUUGUGGUAAUAUGGAGGUGGCAAGCGUUGCUCGGAAUUACUGGGCAUAAAGGGCGUCUAGGCGGAUCGGUAAGUUGGCUGUGAAAGUUUUUGGUUUAAUUGAGGAAGUGUAGUCAAAACUGCCAGUCUUGAGGGCGAUAGGGGAGAGUGGAACUCCUGGUGGAGUGGUGAAAUGCGUAGAUAUCAGGAGGAACGUUGGUGGUGAAAGUGACUCUCUGGAUCGUCUUUGACGCUGAAGCGCGAAAGCUAGGGGAGUGAACGGGAUUAGAUAUCCCGGUAGUCCUAGCCGUAAACGAUGGGCACUAAGUAGUGGCGUUUUUGAUGACGUCACUGCCGUAGCUAAUGUGUUAAGUGCCCCGCCUGGGGAGUAUGGUCGUAAGGCUAAAACUCAAAGGAAUUGACGGGGGCUCACACAAGCGGUGGAGGAUGUUGCUUAAUUCGAAGCAACGUGAAGAACCUUACCUGGACUUGACAUCGCGGUGGUAGGACCCUGAAAGGGGAACGACCCGGGGCAACCCGGGAGCCGUGACAGGUGUUGCAUGGCUUUCGUCAGCUCGUGCCGUGAGGUGUUGGGUUAAGUCCCGUAACGAGCGAAACCCUUGUCGUUAGUUGCCAGCGGGUAAUGCCGGGGACUCUAGCGAGACUGCCGGUGUUAAACCGGAGGAAGGUGGGGACGACGUCAAGUCAUCAUGGUCCUUACGUCCAGGGCUGCAAACGUCCUACAAUGGCGUGUACAGAGGGAAGCGAGCCUGUAAAGGUAAGCCAAUCCCACAAAGCACGUCUCAGUCCGGAUUGUGGGCUGAAAUUUGCCCACAUGAAGUCGGAAUCGCUAGUAAUCGCGGAUUAGUAUGCCGCGGUGAAUAUGUUCCUGAGCCUUGUAUAUACCGCCCGUCAAGCCACGGAAGCCGGGAGUGCCCGAAGCCCGUGACCCAACCUUAGGGAGGGAGUGGUCGACGGUAAAUCCGGUGACUGGGACUAAGUCGUAAUAAGGUA